rnacentral:sRNA from 1 species
GUUCGAAUCCUGCACGACCCACCAAUCGCUAAGGUGGAAGCGGUAGUAAAACGUGAAGGAUAACGUUGCAUCAGCAACGGCCCGAAGGGCGAGACGAAGUCGAGUCAUCCUGCACGACCCACCA